rnacentral:lncRNA from 1 species
GGCAUAACAUCCUUCACAGCCACAUGAGAGGAGAACCUAUGAGCCCACUCGAGCAAGCAACGUGUCUUGGCUUCAGUAAGCAGCUUCAUCUCACUAAUCUUCUCUAUGACUUUUAACCAGACCAAGAAUGACCCGAGUGCAAUGUCCAGGUACCCGAUUUGGUCCCCACCAAAGAAAGGUUUACCUUGGCUCAACUUUCCAAAUACUUCCUCCAACAGCACCAGCCCUUCUUCCACUUGCGCUAUGGCUGCCUUUUUAGCAUCCUCCGAUUCAGCAGCCAACACUCCUCUCAAGGCAGGGAACCACUAUACCACGGAAAAACAAGAAAAAAGAAACAACUAUGAGAAUCUUUUCAAUCAAAAACGCCAAGGUGAGACAUAAUAAACUGUAGUCAACAACGGUAGGAUCAUUCAUAUGAAGAAAUACAAACCUUUUCGUCAAUAUAGGCAGCCCAAAAUCGAGAAUUGGCACGUUCAUAAGGAUCGGAAGGAAGAAUGGAAGGGCCAGAGGACCAGACCUCAUCGAUGUAUUGGACAAUGAUGAGAGACUCACAGAUCGGCUUGUCACCAUGUAAGAGAACUGGGACUUUCUUGAAAACAGGGUUUGAUUUGAGUAGUAGCUCGCUUUUGGAUUCCAAUAGAUUUUCCUCGAUGUACUCGUAGUUUACAGAUUUCAGGUGAAGGGCAAUUCUUGGCCGCAGCACAAACGGGCUUGGCCAUGAACCCAACACUUUCACGUCACUCAAUGCCAUGUUCUUUCCCUUCGCACCCACAAACAAACCGCCAAGAAUAUGUUAUAUCCCCUGCGCACACAAGUGCUAUAUAUAAAGUGACCUAUUUGAGAGUUGGUCUGAUGAUCAAGCGCAAGUGUGAACAUGAGCUUUCUUUUCUGUAUUCAAUCCUAGCCUUUAAUGACAAUGAAUAAUGUUUUUUGAUUUUUCUUUUACAAAAAGAAGAGGAAAGAAAAUUCAAACUCUUUGAAUCCACAAAAUAUACAGCGCAUGUCAUUGAACCAAAUAUUAAAAUACAAUAACGUUUUCAUAUUUAACAUAUUGAUCUAUAGUAAAUCCAUUUAUUUUAAAGGUAUUAUAUGAAAAUAUUUUACCAUCACAUAGAGAGUGCCAAUAACUUUUGCCAAUAGCUUUCAACUUAGUUAAAGAAAGUGGGCUAUUGCAAUAAAUUGGCCAGACUGUGUAAAGGACAGGCUGUAUGGCUAAUUAGGACUUUUGAUCCCUGUGAGUUAAUACGUGAUGAAGAAAUAUCAUGAAUGUUAAAUAAGGUAGUUGACCCGCUCGCAUUAUAUGAUUUUCAAUUUUUCAGCAAUAUAGGCAGCCCCAAAUUGCAACACUGUUUGGUCUACAAUCCACAUUUGGCCAAGAAAGAAGUAAAGGUUCAAGCCUAUAGACUUCUUCUUUUACAAUGACAAUUAAUGGAAACUAGGAUCGACAACAAUUCUUCCAUUUACCCGUGGCUGCUUAUACUUCAUUUCCUCAAUGAUAUUGGAUUCAAGCAAAUUUCAACAUCAGUGCUGCCCUAGUUUGGGGUUAAAACAACCCAUUUGCGACUAAAUUUUUACUAUCAAAAAUUAAAAUUCUUUCACACCAAGUGUGUCCUUGGCAUAAAAACCAAACUUUUGUAAGAUUAACUUCUUUGUAAUGUUUAGUAAAGACUUGGAGUCUUUUAUAUAAUUUGAUAGAAGACGAUGGUAUUUCUUGAUCUUCAUGUCAAUAAUUUUUUUUAAUUAUUUGCCUGAUGAAAAUAGGUUUUAUUGAUUUUUUUUUCAUUGAUUGUAGGAUCACAUUUUUUUAUUUUUCUUUUUUUAAAAACAAAAGAAACCAGCAUUGCGUAAUCAAGAAUGUCAUCCGCCAAGACAGAAUAAGAUUGUACAAGUACAACUAGUCAAAGUCAAAUUGUUGAAAAUUGGAAGCCAUCAGGUAGUUGCUGACCAAUGUUUAUAUACGUUGAUAAUAAUGCGAUGCUCUUCCCAUCAGGGAUCGCCUUCAACAAAGCACCCUUUCGUUUUUUCUUUGUUUUCUUAGGAUAGAUUUGAACUCAAACUCUGUGUUUCAUAAGACUAGAAUUUCAAACUUUUAAUGAAUCUCGCUUAUUUUUCAAUUACUUGUCUAAAUCUUUUAACAAUUUUAUUUACAUAAGGACAAGGGUGUCGAUAUUUACAAUUUUCAAUCUUAAAACGUUUUUUCUUAAUUAAAGUAAAAUAUUGAUUAGAUUUGUUUACAGAUCCAGAUUUUAUAGAUGGCAAAUGAGUUUGGUCCGACUCCAUCUAGGUAUAAUUUUUAAAUUGUUUUACUUUUUUUCUAUUUUCUCUUUCUUUUCCUUCCUCUUACUUCUCGCUCAUAUCGAAAAGUAUAAUGGUUCUUGAUUUAAAAAUUAAAUUGAAAGAACAACUAUAAAAGAAAGAUAAUAACAAUAAAGAAAAUAUUUAGAGAGAGUAUAAAGAUCUUAUUGAAGUAAGUAUUUUACAAAUAAAGUGAGGAGCCUAUUUAUAGACUAACAACUAUAAUUGUCAAAAUGGGUUUAGCCCAUUAAGUCAGCUCAUUUUUUAUUAAAUAUGAGGUGAGUUAGGUUUGAAAAUUUAGGUCCAUAUUUAAACAGGACCUAAAUGGGCCAGCCCACCAAAUUAGUGUGUUGGGGUGGGCUAGGGCGAGCUAGCCCUAUGGGCCAAAAAAAUUAAUAAUUUUACAUAUUUAACUAUAUAAAAUUAAUAAUUUAGUUACAAAUAAUGUUACUUAUUUUAUAUAUUUCAAUGUGUUUAAUUUUUACUUAUCAAAUUAAUAAUUUUAAUUUAUGAAUUAAAUCAUAAAAUAAUUUUAUUAAUAGAAAAUUUAUUAAGUAAAAUUAUAAAAAUGAUUUUUUUUUUUUUUGCAAAACAAGGAAAUGGGCUGGCUUAACCCAGCCCAUGGGCUAGCAAAGGGUGGACUGGAUUGAGGUUUUGAUGGCUUAUAUAAAAAAUAGGCUGGCCUGGCCCAACUUAUAUUUUUUUAGCCCACAAGUGCUUGGGUUGGGUUGGGCUGGGCCAAGCCAGCCCAUAUUGACAACUCUACUAACAACCCUUUAAAUCAAAAUCUAAUCUAAUUCAAACUAAGAGUUCAAAUCAGAUUACAGUUUUUGUAUAUGGCUUGUUGGGUUGUUUGACUUGGUCUGAACUUUUUGUAUCAUAACAUAAUAGACAUUCACACAUAUUUCAUAACACUCCCUUUUUAGUGUCCAUCGCAUUAAGAAUAUACUUCGUUAAAACUUUACUAAAAAAAGACCUUAUAGAAAAAUCAGAGUAAAGGAAAAAAAGUAUAUAAUUCUUUUCAAUAAUAUGCUUUUGAAAUACUACCUCAUUAAAAACUUAUCAAGAAAAACCUAGUGAGAAAAACCUUGAUAAAGGAAAAGAGUACAAUGUGUAUUUUACUCUCCCUGAUGACUGUAUUAUUUAAGAUUUUUAAAAUGACACAUUCCAAUCUUUUGUACCAACUUUGCAAAUGUUGUAGUAAGAAGAGCUUUGGUAAACUGCUAGAUUGUCACUUAACCAAAUUUGUUGAAUACUAAUAUCCCCUUUUUCUUGAAGAUCAUGAAUGAAGAACAAUUUUGGUUCUGUUCUAAUGCCUUUAAUGUAUCAUUCCUUUAAUUUUCUAUGCAAACUGUAUUGUACUUAUAUAAUGUUGUUAGAAUUUCCUUCUUAGUUGACAAGCCACAUAUUUCUCGAAUAUAUUGAGUUACAAAUCUUAACCAGACACAUUCACGACUUGUUUCAUAAAUUGCAAAAAUUUUUGCAUGGCUAGAAGAAGUAGCAAUUAUAGUUUGUUUUGCAUAAUGCCAUAAAAUAGACGUACCUCCAUAUGUGAAUAAGUAACUUGUCUAAGAUCAAGCUUCGUGUGGAUCAAAUAAACAACAUACAUCUGCAUAACAAAUUAAAUUUGAUUUUGAUACAUUUGAGUAAUAAAAGCUUAUGUCCGUUGUUUCUCGAAGAUAUCAAAGUGUAUGUUUAAUUCCAUUCUAAUAUCUUCAAGUUGGAGAAUAACUAUAUCUUGCUAAUAAAUUUACAGUAAAUGAUACAUCAGGUUGUGUAUUACUAGCAAGAUACAUUAGUGCUCCAAUUGCACUAAGAUAUGGUACUUCAAUACUAAGUAGUUCUUCAUCAUCCUCACGAGGUCAAAAUGGGUCCUUUUUCACAUUUAAUAACCUUGCAAUCACUAGUGAACUCAAUAGAUGUGCUUUGCCCAUAUAAAAUCGUUUUAACAUUUUUUCUAUAUAAGUUGAUUGAUGGACAAAAAUUUCAUUUGUUAAGUGUUUAAUCUGAAGAUCCAAACAAAACUUUAUUUUUGCAAGUUCUUUUAUCUCAAAUUCUUUCUUUAAGUAAUCCAAGGCUUUUGAUAACUCGUCAGGAGUUCCAAUAAUGUUUAGGUCAUCAAAAUAUACAGCAAUAAUCACAAAUUCAGAUUUGGAUCUUUUUAUAAAAACACAUGAGCAUAUAGGAUCAUUUUUAUAGCCUUUUUUCAACAAAAAUUCACUAAGGCGAUUAUACCAUAUGCAUCCGAAUUAAUUUAAUCCAUAUAAAGGUUUAUUUAAUUUGAUUGAAUAUAUUUCCUAAGAAUGCAAAUUUUGUGUUUCAGGCAACUUCAAUCUUUCAGGGAUUUUCAUAUAGAUAUUGUUAUCAAGUGAAACUUAUAAAUAGGUUGUAACUACAUCCAUCAAAUAUUGAAAUGUAAUUGCAUCCACCAUAGGAAAAUAUGUUUCUUUAUAAUCAAUACGAGAUUUUUGGAUAAAAUUUUGUGCGACAAGCCAUGCUUUUAUAUCUCACAAUUUCAUUUUUCUCAUUUCAUUUUUGUUCAAAUAUCCAUUUAUAUCCCAUUAAUUUUACACCAUUUGGUGUAUGGACUAUAGGUCUAAAAACUUCAUGUUUUGCAAGUGAAUUUAAUUCUACUUUGAUUGCGUUUUUUCACAUUGACCAAUCAUUUCUAUGUCUACAUUCUUCAACAGAUGUAGGUUCAAGAUCCUCAUUUUCUUUCACAAUAUUGAGCACUGCAUUAUAUGCAAAAAUAUAGUUAAUGUCUAUAUCAUUCUGAUUCUAUCUUUUUCCCAUCAUGACAUAAUUUAUUGAGAUCUCUUCAUUUUCAUUGAUUUCAGGUACUUGAAUUUCUUUUAGAGUUAUGUCAAGAGUCUCUUCUAAAGUUUUUAUUUCCUCUUUCUAACCAUCUUGAAUAUUUGUUAUUUCCUCUUUUUCAUAAUUUUUAUCUUGGGAACCGAUUGAUCUCUCACGCUUCUGGUGUACCUUAGACUCAUUGGCAAUAACAGAUUGUCUUAUUGGGAUAUGAAUUCUAAUUAGAGCAUUUGUAGAUGGUAUAUGAGAUUUAGUUACUCUCUUUAGGUCAAUAAAUGUGUCUAGCAACUAACUUGUUAUAUUUUGCAAAUUAAUUAGUUUUUGAACUUCUUGUUUACAUUGAUUUGUGUGAGGAUCAAAACUAGAUAAUGAUAAUACAUUUCAAGAUAUUUCUUUUUUCAGCUACUUAUUUUAUCCCCCUAAUCUUGGAAAAAUUGUUUCAUCAAAUGACAAUCAGCAAACCUUGCCAUGAAUAAAUCUUUUAUUGAAGGUUUUAGAUAUUUAAUUAUAGAUAGAGAUUCAUAUCUAACAUAUAUUCCUAACCUUAUUUGAGAACCCAUCUUUGUACUUUGUGAUGGAGCAAUUGGAACAUAUAUCGCACAUCUAAAAAUUUUUAGAUAAGAAAUAUUUGGUUCCUAAUCAUAAACCAAUUGUAUUAGGAAGAAUUUAUGAUAACUUGUUGGCCUGAUGUGUACAAGUGUUGCUACAUGCAAAAUGGCAUGUCCCCAAACAUAAAUUAGGAGUUUAGAUUUUAUAAGUAAUGCCUUGGAAAUCAAUUUGAGGUAUUUAAUAAAUGAUUCCACUAGACCGUUUUGUGUAUGAACAUUAGCAGUAGGUUAUUCAACAAUUAUUCCAAUUGACAUGCAAUAUUCAUUAAAAGCUUGGGACGUAAAUUCACUAACAUUGUCAAUAUUUAUUGUCUUGAUUGCAUAAUAAGAAAAAUGUGCUCACAAAUGAAUGAUUCGUGCAAGUAAUCUUGCAAAUGCCAAAUUGCAAGUUAUUAAUAGAUAGUUCUUGCCAGUAAUAUCAAGGCCCACAAAUUCAAGCUUUGAAAGAUUCGACAUGGUGAUAGCUUAAAAGAAAAACAUAAUUAUUAGUAUUACACAAAAUAUCGUUAGUGGCAAGCAAAACAAUAAAUUGGCUAAAGAAAAACAAUAUAUUGGUAAAAUAUGGGCAAAACAAUAAAGUGACAAUACAUAAUAAUUGAAUUAAAAAAAUUACCUGAAGAAAAAUUAAACUUUGACUUUGGGAUAAUGAUGAAAAACUAAAUGAUACGUAAGCUUAAGAGAUUAGGGAAUCAUGCUGAUAACAUGUUAUAAAAUAUAAACUAAAAGAACAAUUAUAAAAGAAAGAGAAUAACAAUAAAGAAAAUAUUUAUAGGGAAUAAGAAGAUCUUACUGAAGUGUGUAUUUUACAAAUGAAUUGAGGGGCCUAUUUAUAGGCUAACAACCCCUUAAAUCAUAAUCCUAAUCUAAUUCAAUAUAAAAGUUCAAAUCAGAUUACAGUUCUUGUAUAUGGUCUGUUGGGUUGUUUGACUUGAUAUGAACUUCUUGGGUCAUAAUAUAAUGGACAUUCACACAUAUGUUUAUAACAAUUCCUUCUUUUUCCUCCCUUUCUUUUGCUAUCUCUCCAUCCUUCGAUCUCACACACCACCAAGACACCAACAUAUAGUGAAUUUUUCAACAAAAACUACAAAAAAUUGAUAAAUUUACAAUAUUUUAAUAAAUUUAGAAGAGCUUGGUUAAUUAAAUUUAAACAUGAUCUCAUAGGAGCUUGGUCGAAAGAAUACAAAAACCUACCUAAAUACAAAAAAAAUAUAUACUAGUUUAAUUAGAAUAUUAUUACAUAAGUUUUUUAGAUUUUUUUCACUACAAAAUUAUGAGCUUUUUUGGAUUGUUAAUAAAAUAAUCCUAAAUAAUUUAUUUUUUUCAUUGAAUUUUCUUUUUUUCAUCAUUAUAUGUCUCUUUUUUAUUUUUUUUAAGGUGAUAAAUGUUGAAUAAAAUAUAUUUUCAUUAUUAUUUAACUAAAUUAGAUUGUUAUUUUUUUUUAUUUUUCACUUAUUUUGAGAGCAAUUAUGACUUUUCAUAAUGGUAAAUAGUUGUUAACUAAUGGUAAUAAAAAGGAAAAAGUCAAGGGCCUAAUUAAGCAUUUUGAAACUACAGAGACCAAAGUGUACUUUAGAGGUGUAUUGAGGUGAUUUUUGUAUUUUACCCAAGACAUACACAAAUAAUUUACUAUAAUUAUGAACCAUUAUAAAAAUCAUUUGCAAUGCUUCUAGGUUUCUAAUUAAAUUGUUUUAGUUUUUACUUAAAAACUAUAUUAGCAAAUUUAAUGCUUUCGUUACCAUAGUUCUAAUCAAAUUUAAUUUCAAAUCUACUCCUUUCUAGAUAAAUCUUAGAUCUAAUUAAAUUAUCUACAUAAUCUACAAUUUUUUUGAAAAUUAAAAUUAUAAAAGGUUUUUUUAUACUUAACGCCAUCAUUAUUAUAAGUAGUGCUUCAUCCCAAACUUUGAAACAUUAUAUCUAUUAGCAUUUUUUAUAGAGUCCUUUCUACUCAUGAAAAUUACUUUUUCUUAAUGAUGAAAAUUUUCAUUUUAUUAUGUAACUAAAUUAUGCAAAAUCUGUGGUGUUAUCAUCCAAAAGUUUCAAUAAAUUUAUAUGGAUUUGUUUAACAUUUCAAUUUCAUUAAUUUUCAAUUGUAUUAGUUAAAAUUUAUUUUGUGUUACUUUUGUUAUAACUUUUUGCACUCUUUUAAUUAAUAAAAGUUUUUAUUUAUGCAUAAGGUAAUUUUUAAUAUUUGUGAAAUUUAUUCUUGUUUUGAAAUGACAAAAUUGAUUGAACUAAAGAGCUUAGAAAAUGAAUGAAAGAUACUUUCAAAUAUGAAGAAAAUCCUUAAAGGUGUUUUGAAGCUGAAGUUAAGAGAAAGAUAUAUUGAAUUGCUAAUAUUGAUUGAACAUGCUUUAAAUGUGAAUGAUCAUGCUCUUGAACUUAAAGAAAUGUCUCUUAGUUUCUCCUAAAGAUUUCUUGUUUUCAAAUUCAAAGUGCCUGCCUAAGAAUCAAAUUCUUAAAAGAAAAGACUUGAUUCUUAAAUGAGGAGAAAGCAAAAUUUAUUUUUUUAUCACAAGAAUAAUUGAUUUUGUAGAAGGAGAAGUCAGUUCUUAAGCAUAGAUCAACAGUAAAGAAUCGAUUUUGAGAAAAGAAAAAGUUAGUUCUUGAAAGACAGAAACUUCAGGAUUUGUGAAGAACCGACACCUCAAAGAAAAAGAAUCAAUUCUAAAAGGACGAAAUGUAAAAAGCAAAAAUGCAAAGAAGAAAUGUCUAUUCUACAUGGAGGAGAUAUCAGUUCUUGAAGCACUAAAAGCAAGAUUCAGAAACUUGGUGACCAAGAAAGAGAUAGUACAAUUGGAAAAGAUUGGAGCGCCAAAAAUCAAGCUCAAAUUCAAAAUUUAGUGCUAGACCAUAGUGAAAAAUUGAUACCUUGAGGUGGACAAACCGAUUCUCCAAGGUUGCAAAGGUGACACCUUUUAAUCCAAUUGUAAAAAAACCAACAUCUUAAAAUAGAAGAAUUGAUUCUCUAAAGACAGAAAGUUUCAGACUUUCUGAAGAACCGACAACUCAAGAGCAAAGAAUUGAUUUUACAUAUGCAACAGAAUUAUGCAAGUUGGUUGGAACAUAUAAGAAGUGAUUCAAAUUUCACUCCAACGAGCAAAAAAUCACAGAGGCUAUAAAUACCUACCUAAAUGACGCUCAAGCAAGGAACUUGAACGAAUUUGAAUCACCUUUGAAAAAGAAAAGAGUGAAAAAACAAGAAAAAGAGUUGUGAGCAAAAGAAUCCUAUCUUUAAGCUAGAGUUGAACUUAAAGAUCAUAUUUUUUUCAGUUGAUACUUCUUGACCUUAAACCUUCUUUCAUCAUUCAUAUUUUUUGAAGAAGCUCUCACCUUUUUGAUCCAAAACUUUCUUAUCAACCUUGUUAAUGGUUUUGAGCUAAAGGAUCUUAAGAAUCCACUGUUGUAUUGGUUAUAGCUCCAAGCAAAAGGUAAAAGGGUUUUUUCUGAUCUUUUAAAAGGUUGUAUCUUGUGUAAAGGGUUUACUUGAACCUAAAAAAGGUAGUGUCUUGGUAGAGGGUACACUUGAUCUUGUAAAAUGUAUGUUGUGAAGGUUAUGCUUAAUCUUGUUAAAAGGCAUGUUGUAAAAGUUACGCCUGAUCUUAUUGAAAAGGCAAGCUGAUAAUAGAUUUGAACUCCUUAUGCUAUCAAAGGAGAAGAUGUAGGCAUUGGAAAACCGAACCUCCAUAAAAAUCCUACUGAAUACUUUUUAUUUUUCUGUUCUUUACUUAUUUAUUUCGUACUCCGUUUUACUGUUCUAUUUUCUCAUAUUUAUGUUUCAUCUUCAAAGCUUCACGGUUCAUUUUUUCCUAAUCUCAUCUACUAUUUCAUAAAUUUCAACUAGAAUCUUGUUAUUACCCAUAAUUUCUGUCUCUAGGACUUCUGUCCUAACCAGCAACUUAUCCAUCAACCCACGCAUGUCUUUCUCCAUAUUCUCAAUUUGGUCUAUCAACUUGACCAGAUAUGUUGCAAUAUUGUCGAGGAUAUCUUCCUCUUCAGCAGCAACCCCCCUCCCACUUUCGACUCUAUAACGUUUGGAUGCCAUUAGAAUUUUGAGAUUUUCCUUCAAAUGAUUUUUAUUAAAAUGGAUAAUGGUUCUUUUUAUUUAUAUGCAUGGAUGUUGACUCUUGGAAGGGUAUUCAAUGGUUUUAGGCUUGUUUUUUGAUGAAUAUGGUUAGUUCGUAAAUAAUGCAUUAAGUGCUUUAAAGAGAAUUUCAAAGUUCUUUGUCAAUCGAAUCUGGAUGGUUUUCUGCACCAAUAUAAGUAGAAUUAAGGGGGCUGAAUUAGUUAUUAAGCAUUCCUAAUUCUCUUCUAAUUUUACAAAAUUUGUUAUUAAAGGGGCUAAAUUAGUAAAUAAUCAACUUCAACAUUAGGUAGAUAAAGCAAAGCAAUUCCCAAAACUAGUCACACAAUGCCUACAAACAAGUCACGCAAUGCCUACAAACCAGUCACGCAUUGCACAACUCACGUAAUUCUUAAAAUCUAGUCUCAAAUUGCCUCCUAUCUAGUUCCACAUUGUCUAAUAUUCAAUCACGUAAUGCCAAAUAAAUAGGUUACGAUUCUUAAUAUCCAGUCACACACCCUAAUAUCCAGUGACGCAAUUCCUAACAAAUAUUCACGCAUUGCCUAUAAACUGAUUGAUUUCGCUACUCUCAGCCAGAUUUAAGUUUCCAAAGUCAUAUAAUUUACCCAUCAACUUUUUCGUUCAAUGAAUAUAAAAAAAUAAACCCAAGAACCCAUAACAAAUACUUUGAUGUCAUCUCUACACUUUGGGAUGGUGAUAUAGAACUCGACGGCAUUGGAGAGCUAGACGACGAGAUAUAUUCCACGAUAGGGUCAGAGACUUGGAUAGAGAGAUAGCUAAUUUGAGAUUUAAUUUUAAAAUUUUUAUCUAAAUGGCGGGAAAGGAGAAAGAAACUGGGACCACUUAAUUGGGAUUAAAUGGUUUAAAUGGUAUUCUUGUUAAGUCAUAUAAAAAAUUAUCUAAAAACAGUUAAAAUUAUAAUGAAGGUCAUUUCUGAAGUGACAUUAUUAAGAAGGCUAUUUUUCACAAUUUUCUCUUUAAGAUACUAGUGCAAGGUAUUAUCGGGAAUUGAACAGGGAUUAUAUGGUGGCAAGGUUUUAUUCUACCACUAGUCCAUUGAAGCCCCUUCUGUGAGGUUUGAGCUAUUUCUAUGUUUUUUUAACAUCAAAAUUUAAGCUAAUUAAAUUGAUUUAAAAUUAUAUUAUACAUCUUAAUAAGAAUAAUGUACCAUAAUCAAAUAUUUCAUUCAAUAAUAAAAACAUCUCUCUUUAAAAAGAUUAAAAAAAAGUGAAUAUUAGUAUAUUCCUUGAUAAGCAAAACAUUUUUGCUCUUCAAGGUUAUUAGUGUUCAAAACUUUUUGUUUUUUCCUUGAAAUUAAAAUAAAAAUUAUUUUAUUAAUUUACCUUCCAAUGCCAUAGUAGUAAGGAGAAAGUAGGAAUAUUUUCCAAACUUUUGCAUCUCAAUAAAUCAACUGAAACAUCCUAUUAAUCACUCUGGAGUAGCCCUCGCUUUCAAGAUCUUGGCUCUAAGCUUUACAGCAAACUCUGCAAACUUGUCAGCCUCAGGCAUAACAUCCUUCACAGCCACAUGAGAGGAGAACCUAUGAGCCCACUCGAGCAAGCAACGAGUCCUGGCUUCAGUAAGCAGCUUCAUCUCACUAAACUUCUCUAUCACUUGUAAACAGACUAAUAAGGACCCGAGUGCAAUGUCCAGGUACCCGAUUUGAUCCCCACCAAAGAAAGGUUUCCCUUGGCUCAACUUUCCAAAUGCUUCCUCCAACAGCACCAGCCCUUCUUUCACUUGCGCUAUUGCUGCCAUUUUAGCAUCCUCCGAUUCAGCAACCAACACUCCUCUCAAGGCAGGGAACCACUAUACCACGGAAAAACAAGAAAAAAGAAACAACUAUGAGAAUCUUUUCAAUCAAAAACGCCUAGGUGAGACAUAAUAAACUGUCGUCAACAACAGCAGGAUCAAUCAU